CCCAUCUCCUCCCUCAGAUGGUGCAGUUGCUUUCUCCAAAGCGCCGGCAUUUCAUCACCUUCAGUGAACAAAGCUCUAAUCCAGACCCAGGCGAUGUGCAUCUGAAGCUCAGGGAUCUGCAAUCUGCUACCCCUCCUGCCCUGCUUUGCUCACCAGCUGGCUCAGCAAAUAGAACUUUUUUGGUAUUGCACUGGGGUCAACCAGGACUGGAUAAGAACCAGUGAAAACCGAAGAAGCUCCAUGUCCUGAAAUGAAAAAAACAGUGGUCAAAGCCGUGCAGAUGAAUUGUGGAGUUACCUGUAUGUCCUGAUCCCUCUGAAAUAGCCCAAAGGAUGUGUACAGUGAAACGGAAGAGGAAGAACAGUACCUCAAGAAGUGCUGGAGUUGUUAAACCUUACAGAUGGAACUUAUAUUGGCCCGGGGUUGGCGCAGCCAUGGCACAGUCUCCAAACCACCAAGCUAAUGAGCAGGAGAUGCUCCGAUACCGCAAC